rnacentral:rRNA from 1 species
GACGAACGCUGGCGGCGUGCUUAACACAUGCAAGUCGAACGGAAAGGCCCUUCUUUGGUGGGGGGCUGGAGUGGCAAGCGGGUUGGUAACCUUUCAGUACCCUGCCCUUGACUUGGGACUAACUUCAGGAAACUGGGUGUAAUCCCGGAUCGAUCCUCAUGCAGCCUGGGGGGGCUUGGAAAGUUUGGGUGGUUGGGUAUGAAUUACGGGAUUAUCAGCUUGUGGGUGGGGUGGGGAGUUACCAGGGCUUUGACGGCUAGGAGGCAUGGGGGGGUGACCGGCCACAGUGGGACUGAGAUAGUGACCAGACUCCUACGGGAGGCAGCAGUGGGGAAUAUUGCACAAUGGGCGGAACCCUGAUGCAGCAACGACGCGUGCGGGAUGACGGCCUUCGGGUUGUAAACCGCUUUCGCCUGGGACGAAGCGUGAGUGACGGUAAUGGGUAAAGAAGCAACGGCUAACUACGUG